AAAAAAACAAACCUUCAAUUUUCGUAUCCAACGUUUGACCGUUCAUCUUAUUUAAAAAAAUUAUGAAAUAAAUUAAAAAGACAAGUCACGCAUAAAGUAUUAACCAUGUUUUAUCAACCAUGAAAAUACUAAUUAUAAAAAAAAAUUUCAUAUAAGACGGACAGUCAAACGUUGGACACGGAAACCCAGAGUUUAUCUUUUU
rfam:Oryza nivara chromosome 10, whole genome shotgun sequence.